CAACCUGCCCUUUGCACUGGGAUAGCCUCGGGAAACCGAGGUUAAUACCGGAUACUCCAUAUUUGUCGCAUGGCGAAUAUGGGGAAAAGCUCCGGGCGGCAAAAGGAUGGGGCCCGCGGGCCUGUUAGCUAGUUGGUGGGUAGUGGCCUACCAAGGCAAUGAUGGGUAGCCGGGUUGAGAGACCGACCGGCCAGAUUGGGACUGAGACACGGCCCAGACUCCUACGGGAGGCAGCAGUGGGGAAUCUUGCACAAUGGGCGAAAGCCUGAUGCAGCGACGCCGCGUGCGGGAUGAAGGCCUUCGGGUUGUAAACCGCUUUCAGCAGGGGACGAGGCCGCAAGGUGACGGUACCCGCAGAAGAAGCCCCGGCUAACUACGUGCCAGCAGCCGCGGUAAAU
rnacentral:rRNA from 1 species